rnacentral:rRNA from 1 species
CGGCCGCGUCGACCGGAGGAUGCAAGCGUUAUCCGGAAUGAUUGGGCGUAAAGCGUCCGCAGGUGGCAGUUCAAGUCUGCUGUCAAAGACCGGGGCUUAACUUCGGAAAGGCAGUGGAAACUGAACAGCUAGAGUAUGGUAGGGGCAGAGGGAAUCUGUGUACGCGUGAAAGUGCGUAGAGACGUCCAGGAAGUAACCAGGUCGGGUGGCGAACGGCG